GAUGAACGCUAGCGGCAGGCCUAAUACAUGCAAGUCGAACGGUGUCUUCGGACAUAGUGGCGCACGGGUGCGUAACACGUAUGCAACCUACCUUACAUUGGGGGAUAGCCUUUCGAAAGGGAGAUUAAUACCGCAUAAGACAGUAGCUGGGCAUCCAGCAGCUGUUAAAGAUUUAUCGAUGUAAGCUGGGCAUGCGUCCAAUUAGCUAGUUGGUGAGGUAACGGCUCACCAAGGCAAUGAUUGGUAGGGGAACUGAGAGGUCAAUCCCCCACCCUGGCACUGAGAUACGGGCCAGACUCCUACGGGAGGCAGCAGUAGGGAAUAUUGGGCAAUGGACGCAAGUCUGACCCAGCCAUGCCGCGUGCAGGAUGAAGGCGUUAUGCGUUGUAAACUGCUUUUAUACAGGAAGAAACGACUCUUGCGAGAGGCAUUGACGGUACUGUAUGAAUAAGCACCGGCUAACUCCGCGCCAGCCGCCACCGUAACAC
rnacentral:rRNA from 1 species